ensembl:lncRNA
GCCGGGGCUGGGGCUCAGGGCGGGGCCUGGUCGGGGUCGGGGGUGCUUGGAGCGCAUCCGAGUGGCACCGGGUCCGGCGCGUCCGGCUUGUGGGCUCAGCGUCUCGCGAGCCCCCGCCGUGCAGCAAUCAGGGCCAGGCGGGAGCCAAGUCUGGGUCUGAGCCUCGGCCGGUCAAGCUGGGAUCCAGGCCGCAUCUGGGGCUGAGCCCGGAGUCUGCAUCCAAGGUUCGGGGCCAUCUGGGCCGAAUCAGGAGCCAGGGGCCGGGUCUGAGUCUGUGUCUGGGGUCCCAGUCCGUGAUUCCUAUCUGGGCCCCGGUCCACGUCGAAGUCAGGAUGCGGGUCCAGAUUCGUGUCCGCGUGGACGUCAGGGUCCUGGGUCUAGGUUUGCUUCCAGGAUCCUGGUGUGGAAGCCAGGUCCGCGUCUGCGUGGAUGCUGCGCUCCGUCUGCGCCCAGGAUCCAGGUCUCAGUCCGGAAUCCGGGUCCAGAUGCAGAUUCGGGUUCGGGUUUCGGUAUGUGUAGACAUCAGGGCCCCAGGGCCAGUCUGCGCUUAAGGUUCAGGUCUGGGUGUGAGCCCGCGUGGACGCGGCGCCUAGCCCGCCUCGCCCGGUCUAGCAGCGGCACGCGCCCCAAUUAGCGGCAGCCGGGCCCCCGUCGAGGGCGGACAAAGGGCGCGACCCCGGGGUCAGGAGUCGCGGGGCCGGCGGCCGCCGCUUUGUGCGCUGUUUGCUCAGCGGAGGCCGCGCCGAGUAGAUCGGCUAAAGCGGAUUAGGGGGUCGCGCGCGGUGGGCGGGCGGGCUCGGGCCCGGACCUCCCAGGAUGCGCUGCCCUCCCGGACCGAAGCCUCGCUGUGCCGCGGGGAAACUGAGGCAGGCUAGGGUCGCCCAUGCACACCUCGGACAGAGGUGGCUCAGAGGCCCCCACCGAGCCUUUGAAGUCCACGGAGACAUCGCCUUAUUUCCUUACCCUGCAUUUGAAAGAAUUCUACCCUUUCUAGUCCCGCAGGACCUGGGCAUUCGUUUUAUGGAGAAGCAAAUCACACUUGCCUGAAGGUCUCUUGCCAGGAAAGUUAUUGGGACUGUAGCGGUGCCUCCUGUGUCCCUAGCACUUCGCCCUGUAGAGCAACACUUCAAAACAGAAAAUGAAACUGGGCAGCAUCGCCAGGCAAACACUGGCUGCCGUUGUCGUGUUCCCUUCUGCAGCCCUCGGCUGAGGAAAACCCCUGCUUGGGCUUAGUGACGGUGCCCAGCCAUGGCAACAGUGACAGAGCCCCACCGAAGCCUGCUUCCCUGGAGAGGCCGAUGAAGUCAUGCAGGCCCGAGCCCAGCUCCUAUGAGGGAGGCGGAUGGAAACCAGAGCCUGGCAAGGAUGUGUCAGCCGGAUGGCAGGUGGAGAGAUGCAGGCAUGGCGAGUUCAGGCAAAGUGCCAAAGCUCACCCCAGAAAGGUGGCCCAGGAUUUGAACUCGGAAGAGCCCGUGUCGCCCCUAUCUAGGUGACCACCAUGUUGGAAAAGUCUUCCCCUUAAACCAUGGCACCCUGGCCUCGCUUCAGAUCGUCCCACAGCGCUCUGCAGGUCUGGGCAGAUGAUGGUGAGGGUGCCUGGAUUCUCCAGCGAGCUGUGUCUUCAGGGAAAUGAAUCUACCUCCUCUGUUUAUCUAGCUCUCUGCCCUGAGGUGUGGUUCUCAGCUGCUUGUCACUGAGGGCAUAGGCUCCUGCCAGAGGGCUCUGCCAGGACCAGCACCAUGCCCUUCUGCCCAAGGGACAGUCCCAGUCAUGCCUGCUUCUCUCUGCAGGAAGCCAGUCCCCUUUAGGGACCAGCUGCAGCCCCCUGAGAGCCUCAGCUUCCUUCCCUUCAAGAUGAGAAGAGAAACCCCUGCACUCCAGGGUCUGGGGACGGGGGCAGGGGUGUCCCUCCAAGAUCAGGUGCUUCGACCUCCUGGGAUAGGGAAGGGAGAGAGCACAUGAGGAUCUGUGGCCUCAGUUUCCCUGACCUUUCUAGGUAUGACCAUGUGUAAGCUCCAGACUCCAAGUGGGAAGCCAGGAAGGAAGGGAGGGAGGUGGCAUCUUUCUGUCCUCGUGCUCAAGGAAAGGUCAGGUCCCAGGCCUCAGAUGUCACAGUGUUCCUCUAUGAUCAGAAGGAGCCCUACAGGUAUGACUAACCUGAGUGAGAGAGCACCCUGGAUCACCCAGGUGGCCCAAGGAAUGACGGUGGUCCUUAAAACCAGAGAAUUAGCUCCAGUUGUGGCUGGAGACAGAGCGAGGUGAUACUGCUGAUUUUGAAAACGGAGGGGACCGCAAACCCAGGGAUACAGGAGGCCCUGAACUGGAGCCUCCAGAAGGACCCAGCCCUGCUGACACCUUGGUGUUAGCCCAGUGAGACCCUCUUCAGCCACAUCAGACUUCAGACUUCCCUGACUAAAGUAAAUCAACACAUAAAUUUGGAGUAUGCUUAGCAUGCAUGAAACCCUGGGUUCCUUUCCCAGCAGCACAUUAAAAAAAUAAUAAAGUAAAUCUUCGUUGUUCCAGCCAUGUGACAG